AUUGAACGCUGGCGGAAUGCUUUACACAUGCAAGUCGAACGGCAGCACGGGGGCAACCCUGGUGGCGAGUGGCGAACGGGUGAGUAAUACAUCGGAACGUGCCCGGUCGUGGGGGAUAACGUCGCGAAAGUUACGCUAAUACCGCAUACGAUCUGAGGAUGAAAGCGGGGGACCUUCGGGACUCGCGCGAUCGGAGCGGCCGACGUCAGACUAGGUAGUUGGUGGGGUAAAGGCCUACCAAGCCGACGAUCUGUAGCUGGUCUGAUAGGACGACCAGCCACACUGGGACUGGGACACGGCCCAGACUCCUACGGGAGGCAGCAGUGGGGAAUUUUGGACAAUGGGCGCAAGCCUGAUCCAGCCAUUCCGCGUGCAGGACGAAGGCCUUCGGGUUGUAAACUGCUUUUGUAUGGAACGAAAAGGCUCUGGCUAAUACCUGGGGCUCAUGACGGUACCGUAAGAAUAAGCACCGGCUAACUACGUG
rnacentral:rRNA from 1 species